AUUCCUGAUGCUGUCUGUCAAAGCUCCUGGGAACAACCUGACAGCCAGUAGGACAGUUGAUGAGGCAGGAGCAGCUUUUGCACAGUACCUGAUAACUGUUUGAAGUAAAUGGCCAAAGGUAUUUGUGGUUGAUUUUGUGCCGCACUUGACAAUCCAAGCUGACUAUCAGGAGUUGCUCCGACAGGAAUUCCAAUGUGUGGCAGCACGUCUUGGAGUCGAGUAUUACCACCAA